rnacentral:ncRNA from 2 species
AUCUGGAGAGAGACGCAUCGCGUCCACCGAAGGGGAUACCGCGCGACGCGGUUCAAGCUCUCAGGUACCAAGACAGAU